GAUGAAGAACGCAGCGAAAUGCGAUACGUAAUGUGAAUUGCAGAAUUCAGUGAAUCAUCGAGUCUUUGAACGCACAUUGCGCCCCCUGGUAUUCCGGGGGGCAUGCCUGUCCGAGCGUCAUUGCUGCCCUCAAGCACGGCUUGUGUGUUGGGCCUCCGUCCUCCUCCCGGGGGACGGGCCCGAAAGGCAGCGGCGGCACCGCGUCCGGUCCUCGAGCGUAUGGGGCUUCGUCACCCGCUCUUGUAGGCCCGGCCGGCGCUUGCCGACACAUCAAUCUUUUUUCCAAGUUGACCUCGGAUCAGGUAGGGAUACCCGCUGAACUUAAGCAUAUCAAUAAGCGGAGGA
rnacentral:misc_RNA from 1 species